GGUGUGCAUUUUGACAUAUUCUAAGAUUUGCCCGUGCAAGUUAUUUGCAGUUAUGACAGCUCAAACAUGCAUUUUAGCCUGGGACUAGAAUUACGACUUUGUGAAACCAGGUUCCACUGAUGUAACGUUGCUGUUCCACCGCAUGUGUUAACUAACUUAAUGCUAAUAUUAUACAAAUUUGAAAAAUAUAUAACAUACACAAUUACCUGCUUUGUCAAUUUCGUCGAGCAGAUGUUGAGGUCGUGCCCUUUUGCGCGGAUUUCUCCUCUCCAUUACGUAGCUUUCUUCUGAAUCUGAACUAGAACUGUGUCGUCGAUUCUCCAAUCCUAUUUGCGUAUAACGUCCAUCUCUGCUGAUUAAUUCAAUAAUCUGAUGUGACUCCUCCCCGUCGAGGUCAUUACUCCAAAGUGUAAUAACAUUUAUGGCUGGCUUUAUUCCAGUUAUUCUAAUAUCUUCCAACAACUUAAUAAAAUUUUUAUUUUUCAUUUUGUCUUGUUCGAAUUGUAUGCACGCCAUGUUUGGUGCGAUAAAUGGCUCUUGAAUGAAAUGCUGUAAUCUGGAUCUUAACUGUUCUAGAGCACUUAAAUCCAAAACCCUUUUAGGUUUUAUUUCAGAUUUAGAUAUUUUUGUGGUUGUCCAGUGAUUGCUUGCUCUUUUAAUAGCAAAGCUUCGAAAUAAUAUGUUAACAUGAAUAGAUAAAGCUUGUCCAGUGAGUAACGUUACGCACAUACGUUUGCCGCGAACGUAGUACGUAACCUUUCCAAAUAAGGACAAAAAGGCGCCUACCGAAUCAGAAGUCAUUUUACAUGUUUUUCUUAUUCUUUAUUUUAGAUCUCCUUGUAGUUUUUCUUGGUGACAGGUUUUUUGAGCAGCGAGCGAAAUAAUGGGACUUGGAACAAAAGUUGUUUCACUUUGUGAGCAGACCAGCAGAAGAGGUACAAGAAGGUUAAUUAAAUGGCUAAAAAAACACAGACUACUCAAGACAAGAUUUAAAUGCAGACUGUGUAACAAAAAAAUGAAAUUCCAGAGGACACAAACAGGCGAUGGAUACCAAUGGGAAUGUCAAAGACGAACCCACAGCCAAAAAGUAACAAAGACAUGCAGGGCGGGCUCAAUUUUUGAGAAAAGCAAGGUCACCUUACAGAACUGGAUGAAGUUCAUAUACCGAUACUGUCAAGGUUUAAGAUUACGGCAGGUUUAUAUGAUGCAGGAUGGCAUCGCCGGGAGUUCAGCAACCCUGAGUAAAAUGAGUCAAAAGCUUGACUGGUCUGUAUAGAUGCUUUAAAGAGAUAUAAAAAGAAGACUGGACAGAAAUGGGUGGAAGAACAGAGUUCAUCGUUAUAGAUGAAAGCAACUUCCGCCAUAAAAGGAAGUAUGCACGUGGAAGAGUAGGAGAAACAUGGAAAAGGAAAAAGUGGGUGUUUGGCAUGCUGGCCAUAAAGGCUCAGAGACGGCGACCGAUUUUGCGACUUGUAAAACGGCGUUCAAGACAUCAUCUCAUUCCCAUCAUCAGAAGACAUGUUCGCCCAGGAUCCAAAAUUUUAAGUGAUGAUUGGAGACCCUACAGGACUUUGACAAGGCUAGGCUUCUCACACUACUCUGUGAAUCACAGCAGGUUCUUUGUGGACCCCAAUCAUGGAGGGCACACACAACAUAUCGAAAGGGCUUGGUCAACAUACAAAAGUCAGAUAUGGAGAUUGAGAGGUAACAAGACUGAGAAGCUUUUAAAGGAACACUUGGCUUGUAUUGAGUGGACUUUUUGGAUGGGGAUGGACCACAAACAUGGUCCUCUGGGGCGUUUGCUGAAUGACAUUAGAAAGUAUUACAGCCUUUAAGGCACUACAUCACAUACUGUAAUUCACCUCAUCAUUCAGUAAGGUUGUUUGGGCAUAUGAAACUAAUAAAGAGAUGAAACAGACACUUGAGUCAUUACCUCAGUUACAAUGUACAAUGUUACAGUU